CAGUAGCCGCGGGAAUACGUAGGUGGCAAGCGUUGUCCGGAAUCAUUGGGCGUAAAGGGCUCGCAGGCGGUUUCUUAAGUCUGAUGUGAAAGCCCCCGGCUCAACCGGGGAGGGUCAUUGGAAACUGGGAAACUUGAGUGCAGAAGAGGAGAGUGGAAUUCCACGUGUAGCGGUGAAAUGCGUAGAGAUGUGGAGGAACACCAGUGGCGAAGGCGACUCUCUGGUCUGUAACUGACGCUGAGGAGCGAAAGCGUGGGGAGCGAACAGGAUUAGAUACCCGUAGUCCCUGUCUCUUAUACAC
rnacentral:rRNA from 1 species